ensembl:piRNA 21ur-4371 ncRNA
UAAGAUGAAGACAUCGUUUGA